AUGCCGCCUCCUAUCUCCCCGCUGCCGCUCAUGGCCUCCAGCCCAAUCCCGUCGCCUCCGGCCGCGCGACCCGGCAGCGGCAGAGCCCUCGCCGCCGUCGUGCCCUGCAACUCCUCGGCAUCACCGUCAUCGUCGACGUCGACGUCUUCGGUGGCGCUGGCUGGCGGCAGGAGGGGCGUGCUCGCGCUGGGCGCGGGGUUCCUGGCCUCCGCGGCGCUGCUGUGCCCGGCCGGGGACGCCGGCGCGACGCGCAUCGAGUACUUCGCGACGGUCGGGGAGAAGCUCUGCGACAUGGACUUCGCCAAGUCCGGGCUCGGCUACUGCGACGUCGAAAUCGGCACGGGCGUGCAGCCCAAGCGCGGCGAGCUCAUCAAUAUACACUACACGGCGAGGUUCCCCGACGGGACAGUGUUCGACAGCAGCUACAAGCGCGGGAGGCCACUGACGAUGCGCAUCGGCGCAGGCAAGAUCCUCCGGGGGCUUCAACAGGGGAUCGGCGGCGGCGGCGGCGUGACGCCCAUGCUCGUCGGUGGGAAGCGCAAGCUGAUGAUACCUCCGAUUUUGGCAUACGGGCCCGAACCAGCAGGCUGCUUCUCAGGGGACUGCAACAUUCCUGGGAACUCCACGAUACUGUACGACAUCCUCCUCGUCGGCAUCUACAAGUGA
rnacentral:rRNA from 1 species